rnacentral:ncRNA from 1 species
GGUAAAUUCUAGAGCUAAAUACAAUGCCGACAGAGUUCCGACCGUCGCGGCGCCCUCCGGGCGUCGCUCGCGGGAGGAACGCUUUUAUUAGAUCAAAACCGGCCCGUCGCGGCGCGCUUCGUGCGCGUCCCGAUCGCGGCCCGCGCAAAGACCUGGUGACUCUGAAUAACUUCGAGCUGAUCGCACGGUCUCCGUACCGGCGACGCAUCUUUCAAAUGUCUGCCUUAUCAACUGUCGAUGGUAGGUUUCCAUGCCUACCAUGGUGGUAACGGGUAACGGGGAAUCAGGGUUCGAUUCCGGAGAGGGAGCCUGAGAAACGGCUACCACAUCCAAGGAAGGCAGCAGGCGCGCAAAUUACCCACUCCCGGAACGGGGAGGUAGUGACGAAAAAUAACGAUACGGGACUCAUCCGAGGCCCCGUAAUCGGAAUGAGAACACUUUAAAACCUUUAAACGAGGAUCAAUUGGAGGGCAAGUCUGGUGCCAGCAGCCGCGGUAAUUCCAGCUCCAAUAGCGUAUAUUAAAGUUGUUGCGGUUAAAAAGCUCGUAGUCGGAUCUGUGUCUGGACGGUGCCGGACCACCCUGGCGGUCCGUCGUGUCGCGGCCGGCCGUGUCGCGGGACCACGUGUCCCGUCGGCGCGGUCGCCGUCGCGCUCGUCAGCCGUCUCGGGGUGUUAGUUACCGGCACGUCGGCCGGACGUAUUGUCGGCAGGCGGACACGUGUCUCGUGCUUCCGGCGCGCCGCGCGGCCACGCGUCGCGCGGCCGUCGGUGUUCGACGACGGCGGCCGCCUACUCCAAUCUUGCUGCGCGGUGCUCUUCACCGAGUGCCGUCGGCGGGCCGACACGUUUACUUUGAACAAAUUAGAGUGCUCAAAGCAGGCUCGAAUCUGGCGGGGCGGCUUCACGGCCGUCUCGUCAAAAGGCCCUGAAUACUGGUCGCAUGGAAUAAUGGAACAAGACCUCGGUCCCGCGCAUCUCCGCCCUUCGCGGGCGCGCGAAAUCGCCCUCCGGGGCGUUUCCGUGCGCGGGCCGCCGGGCCGCGGGCGCCAGUCGCCCGCGCGUCCCGCCGGGCCGGUUUUCGGGACCGGAGGUAAUGAUCAACAGAGACGGGCGGGGGCAUUCGUACCGAGACGUUAGAGGUGAAAUUCUUGGAUCGUCUCGAGACGAACUGACGCGAAAGCAUUUGCCAAGUA